AUUCUUUUAAAAUAGAAGUUUCAAAUUCCGCACAGAUCCAAAGAGAGGGGUCCUCAGUGUGAAUGCUUCAGUUUGCCUGAUGCAAAUCUUCAUGGACCUUUAAAAUAUCUGUGUGACAUUCUGUACAAGUAAUUAGCUGAAAAGAAGAGCUGAAACUGGUGUCAGGCUACUGCAUGGGCACUGAGAAAACUGGCUAUCCAUGCACCGUGCUUACCAUUUAACUAGAUGAAGGUGUUUGGGCUACUUAGAGCACCUUCCUUAUGGGAAAGAAAAGAAAACUGCUGGCUGUGGGAAGGAAAAAGAUGUUGUGCAUCUCAGAUCUGGGGCUGGAAAACACAUCUGGGGUCAAGUUGUCAUUAUAUGAGCACAGAACAUAAGGAUGGUCUUUCCUCUCAAAACCUUACACUCAGUCUGUGACACAGAUGGAUUGCAGCAGAAGUAAAGGGCAGCAGUGAAAUGGUGGUGGUGAGUGUGGCAGGCACAGCAGCAACAACAUCACAGUUGGUAAUUUUUGUAGGCAUCCACAGAGAGAAAUUCUAAGGACAGAAUAAAAUCUUAGGAGUUGAUUACACAGCUGCAAUCUUGUGGCAAAGCCUCUGGAUUCAGAGCUUGGACGUCUUGACAUCUGUCCCAUUUUUAGAGUCUUAGAGGAAUUUUACUCUCCUGAGCUUGUGAAAGGCAUCUGAGUUCUGGGGCUUUUCAUGGCUUGUGUCCUGCUGCUAUAAAAUGAAAAACAUGGUCUCCUGCUUUUUGCUUCAUGAAGCAAUAUCAGAAUCUUCAAACCAUUUUGGAGUUGCUCCUUACUGGAAAGAUGAACCAUUCCUUGAGGUGGCUACUGCAUUCUCCACUUGUCUGCAUGAUUGUUUCUAUUGAAUAAUAUCCCACUGUUUUUCCCCAUAAAACAACUUCAAUAUGCUGCAUAGCCCACUAAUUAAAUGGGAUUUAUCAUCAAUUAACCAGAACCACACAACUUCUGUGUGGGUGCUUAUCUUGUCCAUCUUGCCCAGGAGUGUGUGUCUGAGGAAACCUGAGUGUCUCUGUCUCCUUGCCAUGAAAAUGGGCCAGGCAUUCCCAGUAUGGUCUUCAGACCAUUUGUUCGUUGCUGUUCUGCCUCCACAUCCACCCCUUUUCCUUCACUUUCUGGCACUACAGCAGUGUUGAACAGCAGCCAUUGAGGGCUCCAGCCAGAUUUUUCUCAGUGAAAUACCUUCUAUGGGGUAGGAAGCCAGGAAAAAAGCAACAGCAAAUGGACCAGCCUUGCAUGUUCCUCCCCAAUGCCCUCACCAGCACCCCAGCCCAUCACUUUAGCUGCCAUCACAGCACACCAGCUCUGCAUGCAGAAGUACCAGCAUCUGGGCUCUAGUACCAGUUUCCAAGCUUCUGGGCCAGCUUCAGGAAUGUGUUUUUAAUAUUCAUUGUUCACUUUGUCUGCUACAGAUGUGCACAGUGCAAUUAUUAUAAUGCUUUGCACAUGUGGUGUUAUGAAAUGUGUGCCUUUAAAGUCAUGCCAGUUUUUUUUUCCUGUAACCCAAAUAUAUUAUUUCUACCUAUGUUCCAGUUACUUAG